rnacentral:lncRNA from 1 species
UGUAAAUAUUUUGUGUGCUGUGCAGCUAAAGGGUGACCAGAGUGCUCCUUGUACAUAGUAGAUCUGAAAAGGAGUAUGGAGGAAUCAAAAUUAUUUGGGGCUCUUUGUCAAAUUACUCAGCCUUUUUGGAGAUUUCAGAUACAGCCCAACCCUUUAAGAAUCUUUGUUGUCUUAGUGAACUAGUGUUACCUCUUUAAAUAUGUUAUAUAUCUCUUUUGAUGGAUGAAGAACAAAGUUAUCUAGGAACUGAGAUUAUAUAAUGAAGAUUAAAAAGGGCUUUUGUUUCUCUUCUAAUUUCUUAUUUAUGUGAAUUUAGUUGCCUUUCAUACUCUCAGACUUCUUUUUCAUCCAGAUACCCCUCCCUCAAAUCACAAUCCUUUCGUCUAGUUUUCUGUAUUAAGACCUGCCAUUUGUGAUGUUCUGGACUCUACAUCAAACAAUCCUGACCUUUCCAAAAAUUUGCUUUUUGACAGCCAGCACGUUAACUAUAAGGAAUGAUCUUUUAUUGUGGAAUUCAGUAUCCCCUGGUGCUCCAGAGUGAAAUAGGGGUGAGUGGGGAAUGGGCCACAAAAUAAAUGCACCCUUCAAAUUUAAGUUUUCUGUUAAUGCCUGUUGGGCCUUUGUUCUCACAGCCCUGUGUAUGUGCUUCUGUUUAUAGGUACAUACCCACAGAGCAGUAUGUUCAAGGCUGCUGACCUUUGUGUUAGAAAUGCAAAAUGCUAGGCUAUGCUAGGCUUGGUGUGAUGGCUCACGCCUGUAAUCCCAGUGCUUUGGGAGGCCGAGGCAGGCAGAUCACCUGAGGUCAGGAGUUUGAGACUAGCCUGGCCAACAUGGCAAAACCCUGUCUCUACAAAAAUAGAAAAAUUAGCCUGGUGUGGUGGCAUAUGCCUGUAGUCCCAGCUACUUGGGAGGCUAAGGCAGGAGAAUCACUUGAACCUGGGAGGUGGAGGUUGCAGUGAGCCGAGAUUGUGUCACCACACUCUAGUCUG